rnacentral:misc_RNA from 1 species
GAUGAAGAACGUAGCGAAAUGCGAUAAGUAAUGUGAAUUGCAGAAUUCAGUGAAUCAUCGAAUCUUUGAACGCACAUUGCGCCCGCCAGUAUUCUGGCGGGCAUGCCUGUUCGAGCGUCAUUACAACCCUCAGCCCCCCGGGCCUGGCGUUGGGGAUCGGCGGAAGCCCCCUGCGGGCACAACGCCGUCCCCCAAAUACAGUGGCGGUCCCGCCGCAGCUUCCAUUGCGUAGUAGCUAACACCUCGCAACUGGAGAGCGGCGCGGCCACGCCGUAAAACACCCAACUUCUGAAUGUUGACCUCGAAUCAGGUAGGAAUACCCGCUGAACUUAAGCAUAUCAAUAAGCGGAGGA